AUUGAACGCUGGCGGCAGGCCUAACACAUGCAAGUCGAACGAGUGGCGGACGGGUGAGUAAUGUCUGGGAAACUGCCUGAUGGAGGGGGAUAACUACUGGAAACGGUAGCUAAUACCGCAUACCAUCAGAUGUGCCCAUAUGUGAUUAUCUUGUUGGUUGGGUAACGGCUCACCAAGGCGACGAUCCCUAGCUGGUCUGAGAUGAUGACCAGCCACACUGUAACUGAGACACUGUCCAGACUCCUACGGGAGGCAGCAGUGGGGAAUAUUGCACAAUGGGCGCAAGCCUGAUGCAGCCAUGCCGCGUGUAUGAAGAAGGCCGUCGGGUUGUAAAGUACUUGCAGCGGGGAGGCGUUACCCGCAGAAGAAGCACCGGCUAACUCCGUGCCAGCAGCCGCGGUAAUUC
rnacentral:rRNA from 1 species